rnacentral:tRNA from 1 species
GCAUCUAUAGUUUAAUGGAUAAAACAUUAGCUUGCGGAGCUAAAGAUUAAUAGUUCAAUUCUAUUUAGAUGCU